CCUACGGGUGGCAGCAGUGAGGAAUAUUGGUCAAUGGCCGGAAGGCUGAACCAGCCAAGCCGCGUGAAGGACGAAGGUGCCAAGCAUUGUCAACUUCUUUUGUCAAGGGACAAAAUCAGGCUCGAGAGCCUGACCGAGGGUACUUGAAGAAAAAGCAUCGGCUAACUCCGUGCCAGCAGCCGCGGUAAUACGGAGGAUGCGAGCGUUAUCCGGAUGUAUUGGGUUUAAAGGGUUCGUAGGCGGACUGUUAAGUCAGCGGUAACAGCCCGGGGCUCAACCCCGGCGAGCCGUUGAAACUGGCUGUGUUGAGAUGUCGAGAGGUAUGCGGAAUGCGCAGUGUAGCGGUGAAAUGCUUAGAUAUUGCGCAGAACUCCGAGUGCGAAGGCAGCAUACCGGCGGCGAUCUGACGCUGAGGCACGAAAGCGUGGGUAUCGAACAGGAUUAGAUACCCCGGUAGUC
rnacentral:rRNA from 1 species